rnacentral:rRNA from 1 species
GAUGAACGCUGGCGGCGUGCUUAACACAUGCGAGUCGAACGGAAAGGCUCCUGCUUGCCGGGGUACUCGAGCGGCGAACGGGUGAGUAACACGUGGGUGAUCUGCCCUGCACUUCGGGAUAAGCCUGGGAAACUGGGUCUAAUACCGGAUAGGACCACAUUUUGGAUGGUGUGGUGGAAAGUUUUUCGGUGUGGGAUGAGCUCGCGGCCUAUCAGCUUGUUGGUGGGGUAAUGGCCUACCAAGGCGUCGACGGGUAGCCGGCCUGAGAGGGUGUACGGCCACAUUGGGACUGAGAUACGGCCCAGACUCCUACGGGAGGCAUCAGUGGGGAAGAUUGCACAAUGGGCGCAAGCCUGAUGCAGCGGCGCCGCGUGGGGGAUGACGGCCUUCGGGUUGUAAACUUCUUUCGCUAGGGACGAAGCGCAAGUGACGGUACCUGGAGAAGAAGCACCGGCUAACUACGUG